UACCCGGUCGGUCGGUCGGCCGGUCGGGCGCUCGAUCGCCUUUGCCAUGUAGGUUGUCUUUUGCUGGGUUUACUAGGUAGUGUCAGUUUAGCCAAGUUACGUCAAUAACUCUUUUAGCUCGCGGAAAUGUACCCGUUUGUAUCAUCGCUACUUCUUCUAAACCCACUACACGGACUACUACUAGUCAUACUGUGGCUUCUAAGAAAGUAACUACUGCGACUUAACCUACUCAUGAAACUUCAACUGUUAAACUUUUGGUUCGUGUGACCUAAAAAACACUUGUUUCCCUUUAACCUUGUUUCACUCAUACCGAGUCAUGUUUUACAACAUGGUCUACCGUGUCAUGUUUUACAACAUGGUUUCUUUGCCUCUUCUUCUCUGAGAAGUUUAAGAAUGUAGCUUUUAUCGUUCCUCGAACGUGGUCCGUCGUACGGACAUUUUCGGGGAUUUUCUUUACGACUUUAUCCUUUUUUGUAUCGUUCAUCGCUGAAUUCAAGAAUGUCGCUUAUAGUGAGACUUCCGUUGUUUGGCAACUGCUUAUUUUCAUUAAGGGGACCUUCUUACGUCUUUCCCUUACGGUCACUCUUACGUUGACCACGACUCAUGCGUAGUGUAGGCUUCUAUAGUUGUAUGAACCUCUUCCUACGACGUCACGUUGAACUAGAGGUUAACUUUUUUAGGAGAUUACACCGCUUCGGUCUAAACGGUUUCUUUUACGCGAGGUUUCUUUUUAUACCACAGUUAGUCAAAGGACCGAACUGAUGUUGUCUGUUGCAUAUAAGCUGUGUUUGUUGCGUGAACCGACGUUUGUCCGCGUAUCUUCCAAGUCCAUAAUUCCGGUUCCCAUGGUCUGAGCUCGCUCGAUAAGCACUGGAACUUUUAUAGCAACCACUUAUGUUUGGUGUAUGAGAACUACAAGGGAUGUAACUAGGUUUAACAGUUCCUCGCCACUUUUCUUCUGACGGAGUUCUUUAUUUUGUUUUUGAACGAUUCCAGCGUUCCAAUAGCCGUUUAGUCCCAUUUUAGAGUCUUCUACUUAACUAGUUAGCGGAGUACCCGUAUCACCCCGUGGAACACGUCGCAUCCUGUGACUUCUCUUUGUACUUUCUUUACCAGCUUAGCCCAUACACGCGAUUUGUUCUCUUCCGACUGUUCAAGGUCGUUCACUUUUGACUCUAGAUACUUUACCAGUUUCGUGCAGAUCUGUGGUUCGGGUUCCAAUGACUUGUUUCCCUACUAAGUCGUGUACUAAAAGUUCCCCCACAGUCAUAACUACUAUUUUGUCGGAAUUUUCCGUUUAAACAGGACCUACGAGGUGACCUCCUGUCCUAGACACUAGAUAUACUAGAAAUACAACUCCCAUACCUACUUCUGUUCCCGGGAGUCUCAGCAUUCAAUAUACAUCUCGAACGACUGAACACCGGUGUUCCAAUGUACCUAUUUCAACUUUAAGCUUUGCGGUAAAGUUCUAGCUUCCUCGCUUCUUUAAAUAACAUGGCCGUCGCGUUCCAAGCGUUGCUCCUCUCUUACUUCUCCUCUUCCUAUCGACGACGGCGGUUCAGUGCUCUACCGUUGGGUUACCACCGAGUCAUGCGAUGUCGUGUCGUUCAAUACGUUGGCGGGCACUUUCUGCGAUCAGGUAGCUACUGUUCGUGCGUGUGGAACAUAGGACAGCAAUUGAUACCUGUAUCGGUCCAGACGUCUUUGCGACCGUCUCAACCACUUCACUGCCACCCACGUCAUAGACUGCCGUUGGCAUCAAGAAGACGCCUGUAGUUCUCCUCUUUUGAUCCAAGACUGCGGCGGCACCUAGACGUUGACGUUCGAUUGGGUGACUUCCGAGGGGGUGCCAUACAGUCGCUCUUCGUCUUCGGACGCUUCGCACGCCUACUACAUUUCCAGCCGUCAUCGUCAUCGGAAGGAGUCUGCCACGAACGGCAACGUCCGAUACUGGGGGUCGCCGGGCCGAUGUCGAUU
rnacentral:rRNA from 1 species